rnacentral:lncRNA from 1 species
UCCAGUCAGCUCCUCUGCGUGCUUCUUGUCCUCCAGUGAAGACCGCUCUCCCAGGAACAAGGGAAGGAAGCAGGGCCCAUGCUCCUGCUCUGGAAGUGUCUGGGGCUACCAGAAUGUGGGCUCCCUAGAUGUGAGGCUCAGGUUCUAGCUCCACCAAGCCACCUACCAGCUGUGCCUGGUGUGCAGGCAGCCAGCCACUGAAGCCAAGCCCCAGGCCUGACUGAUCUUUACUCAGGGGUGUAGAGGCAUAGAGUAGGCACUAAGUGAACAUUUGUACCAGGGAAGGAAUCAAGGAAGCAAAGGACACCUGGGACAUCUUUUCAGAGACCAGUAUCUGCCC